CGGAUGGAAGGUGAAACGGAGGUCGUCAACCUGGAACGACUUCGCCCACAGACGUAAGCUGACCAGGUUCGGUAGCUUCCCAAGAACUUGGAGUGCAGGUUCGUGCUCCAGUAUUCUAGAGUUCCUUAGAACCAACUUCACAAGAUUCGGGAGCCCCCGGACCCAUCCUGGCAAUUUGACCAAAUUACCGUAUAUCUUGAGGCUCUGGAGUGUUUUUGGAGCGGAGGCCAAGCCCUCCAAACAGCCAUGCAAACCUGGCAUCCCACAUGCCUGCACUAGCAAAGAUUCCAGGCAGCUGAUAUUGGCAACGACUGAACAGAACUCCUGGCUGUUUUCCUUGUUGAUGCCGGUCACAGCUAACUUGCGCAACUGGGUCAGUCCUUUUAUGCCCCGUAGAAUUGCUUUGUUCCAUGCGAGAUUCACAACACCCAAUGUGCGCAGGGAUUUUAGUUUCCCUAUCCCUCUUGGCAUCCAAGUUGGACCUUCUUUCGCCAUCAGAGCAGGGAGCAUGGCGCAGCAACACUCAGUGCAUACAUCACACCUAUUCAUGUCACCAUCCAUAUUCAUAAACUCUUUAAGAAGUUGAGGUGCGCAACAUGCCACGCAAAAUCCUAGCAACCCAACCAUACAAAAGCAUGGCCUGUUAUUCAUUACUUUUGGCAGUUCUUCAAACUCAUUAGAAUCAUCCUGGUAAACAGUCCCAGCACGAAGAUAUUGUAGCUUCUUGAGCUUGGUGAUGGUCUUGGGCAGCUUAAAAAUCCAUGUGUUUGAAAUAUCUAGUGUUUCUAGUUGCUUUAGAUUACCCAACGAAUCUGAUAGGUGAAAAAUAGAAUCACAUCCUCUUAGAGAAAGAUAUCUGAGGUGAAGAAGCCUCCCAAUAUGCUCUAGGUGAUGACUAACCAGACCUGAUGUGCCUUCCAAGUCCAGCACACGCAAGAACCUCAUCUUGUUAGAAAUGAAAAAGGACCUCCACUUCCCAAACACUGUUAACGAGCGUAUGCGGGACAGAUCCACUUCGUUCUCAAACUCACUCUUAUCUGCUUCCCAGUUGGUGCUUAUGACAAGGUGACGAACUGUGCCCUGGGUGUUUGAGCUGCAACCUUCCUCCAUUCUAAAAACAAGAUUUUCUUCUGUUGACUUUGAGAUGCUAAUCUCACGCAUGAGAUCAUGGACUUGGCAAGAGUCAAUUCCUUUUCUACUAUUAACUGAUAGCUGAGAAGGUAGGAUCAUGCUCCUCUCUAUUAGUUCCAUGAAGUAGUUGUCAGCUACUUCUUCUGAGGACUUAUCUCGAAUCUCCCUUGAGUAACCUUCUGCACUCCACCGUCGUAUCAAACGUCUUCGACUUAUCUUGUGAUCUUCAGGGAAGAUGGAUGUAUAUAGGAAACAAGACUUAAGAUGGUAUGGUAGACCAUCAUAACUUUUACCAAGAAUUGUUUUUAUGGCCCCAAGCUCCGGGUUCAUUUCCAAUUCAGCACUAAUAUGCUCAUUCAAUUUCCUCCACUCUACCGCUACUUUUGGUUGCUUUGCCAAGAAGCCUCCGAUGGUGACUAUUGCAAGGGGAAGUCCAUUGCACUUCUUCAAGAUCAUUUUUGCUUCUUUGAUCAAUUCAGGAUGCUUAUCCAAAUCUUUGGCCUCAUUAAACACCUGAAAUCAGUAGUACUUAUUAUGUUCUUUGAGAUUGAAAAUACGUACGAAUGGUCUAUGUAGUUUACUUAUUUAUUAGAAUGACUAUGGCACAAUUAUUAGUCUCAUGCCUAUUGAAGAAUAGAACAAUUAGUUAUGUUGUCCUUAUAUUGUAAUGAAAGAUAACACAAAUGGAGGCAGGAUUAUAUUGUCAUAUAGUAUACCUUUCUUGUGAAGAGGUCUUGUGCAUCCUUGCAGUCAAGAACUUUGAGCUUGUAUAUGUUUUCUUGUUUCUCUGAACAAUGUUUUGCUAUACUCUCUCCCCUUGUGGUCACUAUAAUCCGGCAUGAACUAUCUAAUUUAGGGAAGCUUCCAAAUAUAUUAUCCCAUUCUGCUGUUGAUGAAAGAUCAUCAAGAACAAUCAAGCACUUCUUCCCUUCAAGAAGCGUAGCUAACUCAUUUAUUAAUGCUUCAACUUCCAUCAUUACUGGAGCUGUGUUUCUUGCACCAUGUGCAAAAUCUAUUGCUCCUUUCUUUUCAGAAGAUUGUACAUUUAGUUGCAUAAUUAAGCUCUUCAGAAACUCCUUACGAAUGAAAGGGCGCAUCACUGUAACACAAGCAUGCUUCUCAAACACACCAACAAGCUUUUGACUUUCAUAAACAUCUUUGAUCAGAGUAGUUUUCCCAAGACCACCCAUUCCCCAUACUGAGAUCACCGCAAGCUCUUGAUUAGAUCGAUUUGAAAUGAGGUUGAUGAUAUCAGUUUUUUCUUUUUGCCGACCGAUAAGUUGUGAUUCCUCCAAAGCACUUGCCAUAGUUUUGAUGCGAGUAAGGCUUUUUGUGAAUACCUUUAUCUCAUUGCCACCUUGAGAUUGAUGUCCCAGUGCUACAUUAGUACUUAUUGAUUCAUCUGAGCUGGACACUACCACUGGUAUUUUUAUUUGAUCUUGGCAAUCCUAUGCAGAAGUAAACUUUAGUUAUCAGAAUUUUAAAUUUGUCGAUGUUUAAACAAUAUUUUGACUCAAAAAGGUAAAUUCAAGCAUAAAUGCAUAUAAAUUUAUGAUGGCCAUAGAUAGAUUGCUUGGGUAAUUAAAAGAAACAAGAUAGAUUGAUUAGGCAAGAAUGGAAUUAUAACAUAUAGGGGAGGCUAGUAUCUAGCCCUAUUACAAAUGAGGUGUUUAGAUAGAACUAUAAUGUGUAAGAUUGUUAUUGGCCAAUAUAUAGAUUUUAUUUUACACUAAUAUUACUAAUAAUAGAUUCUAUUUGGAUGAUCGAUGUUAAAUCUCACUAAACACGCUAGAAAAAUAGAUAGAUUUUAGAAAAUCUCACAAAGAGCGAAACAUUCUACCAUCAAUUUUGUAGACUCAAUCCUUGUUGAUAACAAUAAGCAUAGGAUGUAAUUUACUUUAAAAAUGACCUACCUCUACCAUUACAAAGAUAAUAUCAAAAAUCUACACCUAAAAUCCCCACAUAUGCCAUAUGAAUAAGAAUUUAUUCGUCCUCUAAAUCUCCAUACAAGUGACCAAUCACUGCUACUAUGAAAAUAAAGCGUAAGUAACCUCACAAUUUGUAUCUAAAUUACCAAUACCCUCUACCAUUAUGAAUAAGAAUUUAAAUAAGAUAAUAAAUUUGUGGCUAGAUUAUCCACUGUUUCCAUUAUUAAAAAUGACUUAAAGUAAUGCUUAAAUCUACGUAUGAAUUACACAUUUCUAUGAUUAUAAAGUAUAAUAAUCCAAAGCAUGCCCUAUAAAUUCUUCUAAAUUGAUCAUUUGUAUCAUUAUUAAUAUGUGAAAAAACUAAAGUAUACACAUCCAUGAUGUGUACCACCAUAGAAACCAAGUAGCAAGCAUGCAGGGAUCAAUAGAUGCAUUGAUUUACAUGGUUUGGCAAUAACAAAAGUUAUUUUCUUAAUGAUUCAUAUUACAAUGGCAGUCCACGUUAAAUUAUAUUACAAUACUACUACAUGACAAGAAUUAUUUAAGUUGCUACUCUAGAUAAAUGUAUUACAUUUUGACUGACAACAUUAAACAUCUACAAUGAUAGUUACAUUAUGACCACUCUAAUUACUUACUCCCUCAAGCUAUUCUUUUGAUCUAUUUUUGUAACAUAAGUUAUAAUGUCAUGUGUCGUCCCAAUUAAUAUGAACUUAAAACUCAACCGGUACAUGGAGAAACAAAAAAAAAUCUCAUUAGGGGUAGCAUGGACCAAUUGAAAUAGUUUGGGGAGUACAUCUAGUUGUUCAAGGAACUAAGGGGACAUAGUGGAUUGCUUAGGGUAGUAAAAUAGACUUCUUCAUUUAGUAAAGUUUUUCUAUAGAGAAAUUUUUACACCUCUAGACAUGCUAGUUGAGAAUCUUGUUUAUUCCUUCCACUUCUAACAGUUAUGCUUCUUAUGCUAGCAUGUAUAGGAGCAUGUGUACUUGUUGAUGGACUCGUUCUUAUUGACGAAAAUUGAUACAUUCUUUCCUGUGCCUAUGAAUAUGGUAAAAGAAUUCUGGAUACAACAACCUGAAUCCUUGUAACUAUCUGAGAUAAAGAAAAAUAACAAGAGGUGACACUAAUUCGACGAUUUCUGAAGGAUGAAUAGUACCUUCUCGUAGAAAGCGUAAAUAGUCUGAUGAGCGGAGAACUGCUUAAGCUCCAACGCUUGGCAUUCUUGCCCUGCACACAAGCUUGCAACUUCAAUUUGUAGGCUGCAAACUAUGAUUCGACUCCCUUUCUUGUGGUUCGGCGGCAGACAUGCUUUAACCCCAUUCCACUCUUCAAAGGUGGACAGGUUAUUAAGCACAAUCAGGAAACUAUUCUCGCUUAGGUAUCCAGAGAACUCCUCUGCCAACUCUUUCCCUGUCUUCUUGGUCUCCAACAGAACAUCGACCCCCACGGCUGAUCGGAACUGCUUCACUAAGCUUUGGAUGAAGUCAUUCGGAUUGAAGGGAUGCGAGAUCCUUACCCAUGCCCGGCACGAAAACUUCUUUUUGAUAUCUGGAUUCUCGUAGGCCGCGUUGAUGAUGGAUGUCUGCCCAAGAUCACCACUGGUUCCCCACACUGCGAUCACUCUAAGAUCCUCGCCCGGUGUGUUGAUCAGGUGGACCAGGUCCACUUUUGAGUUGUCAUUCUUCGCAGCACGCCGUGCAUCAUCGAUGCCGAAUAUCGUCGCAGCUGUAAUGCUUGACUGCUCAGCAGAAGUAACCGGCUUGGAGCCAGCGCUCUUGAUGAGCUGGUAGCGCAGGUUCCUCUGGCUCACGUCCUCAACUCUGGCCCUCAGCUCCUUCAUCUGCUUGGCGAUGCGGCGCCGCUCUUGCAACGUGCGAGGAAGGCGCCACCAAGAUGGCUUGUGGAGAUGAACAGAGAAAUCCUGGAGGCAGUCCUCCGCAUCGUAGGCCACGUCUCGGACUUGUUUCACCCAGGUCAUGAGCACGUCAUGGUUGUCCCGCUCGUCGUGCGCAGCCCUCAUAAAGGCUUGCAUCAUCGCGAGCUCGUCCCUGAUGAAAGCAUGAUCGCGCUGGAUCCCGAGCUGCAAGGCCACCUCCUCCGCGACAGCGGAUUUGGCGUAGCCAAGCGCUCCAUCCAGCACGGACUUGCCCACGCUCAGCGCCGUCGCCUCCAUGGCUCUCUUCUCGGGUGUGCUGUGUGGUGUGGAUGGGUGUGGAAAUGCUUGGUGCCAGUCCACAAGCCAACCAUUUGGUUAAAAAGGUGAACUCAACAACUAGAGGACCGAGCAAGUUGAAAUUUUUCAUGAAGACUUGUACUUAGUGUAGCAGUUCCUCAAGUCGUACCAAAUUAAUUUAGUGGUAGGCUAUGUUAAUUAAGUGGUAGGCUAGUAUUGAGAUGCACGCAAGAGAGCUGUUGGUCCAAGCUUGCAGCGCGUUGACUCUGUUGCACAUGUUGGCACGAGCAAACUACACACCUAAGCACGCAGCUUGCUAUUUUCUUUAAGAAAAGCUGCACAUGUUGGCAACCAUUAUGAUCGUUAUGAAUCGAUUGAAGCGCAGAUGCCAUCUCAUUGUCAACGGGACCGGAGCUAGAGAAGAAUAAAGGGGCGUGCGACACCUUCAAGGCAUACAUAGACAUUUAAUUUAACAUGAUGAAAAUUUCGAGCGAUAGCAAACUAUGAGUUUUUUCUACGUGCGGCAGCACCCGGCACUUAUAACCUAGCUCUGCCCCUGGUUGUCAAGGAUAAGAACAUUUGGAAUCAACUGAAACAUCAUAAGAAGCUAGCCCAAAAAGCAAAAGCAACGCACAAACCUACAGACAAGCUGCUCUGUGGUAGGGGAGAAAACUUCAGCAAAACACUAAAGCUUCUAUGCAGAGUAAAAAAUUAGAUCCUUCCUUCUUCUCGAGUCAAUUCCAUGGAUGGACACAUGUGAGAAUGCAUCCACAACUUGUAGCGAAGCAUGUGACCUUGUAUGUGAGAGCAAGCCCCACGUGCCUGCACUAGCAAAGAUUCCAGGCAGCUUAGAUUGGCAACGACUGAACAGAACUCCUGGCCGGUUUUCUUGCUGAUGCCGGUCACAGCUAACUUGCCUUGUCCCAUGCAGAGAUUCACAGGACCCAAUGUGUGCAGGGCUUUUAGUUUCCCGAUCCCUCUUGGCAUCCAAGUUGGACUUUCCAUUGUCAUCAUCAGAAGAGGGAAGAACCAGCAGCAACAUAUAGUGCACCUAUUAAUGUGACCACCGGCCCGUUACGUGAAACUCUUUUAAGAAGAUGAGGUGCACAACAUGCAACACAAAAUCCGAGCAACCAACCCGUACAAAUGCAUGGCUUGUUAUUCACUAUUUUGGCACUUCUUCUAACGGACUAUUAAAUGAUUUAUCAUCCUUUCCAAGAUAUUGUAGAUUCUUGAGUUUGGUGAUAGUCUUGGGCAGCUUUAAUAUCUCUGUCUCUGAAAUAUCUAGUGUUUCUAGUUGCUUUAGAUUACCGGCCCACCAACGAAUCUGACAAGUGAAAAAUACCAGUACAUCCUCUUAGAGAGAGGUCUCUGAGGUGAAGAAGCUUCCCAAUAUGCUCUAGGUGAUGAUUAAACAGACCUGAUGUGCCUUCCAAGUCCAGCACACGCAAGAACCUCAUCUUGUCAGAAAUGAAAAAGGACCUCCAGAGAACUCCUCUGCCAACUCUUUUCCUGUCUUCUUGGUCUCCAACAGAACAUCAACCCCCACGGCUGAUCGGAAGUACUGCUUCACUAAGCUUUGGAUGAAGUCAUUCGGAUUGAAGGGAUGCGAGAUCCUUACCCAUGCCCGGCACGAAAACUUCUUUUUGACAUCUGGAUUCUCGUAGGCCGUGUUGAUGAUGGAUGUCUGCCCAAGAUCACCGCUGGUUCCCCACACUGCGAUCACUCUAAGAUCCUCGCCCGGUGAUUCAGCACUUCUGGCAGGAUCAUCGAGGAGAGGCGGCGUCGAUUAAGCCCGGAGAUGGUGGAGAUGCUCUCUUGCGUCAAGGACUGCGAAGCUGCAGAAGCAAGACUUCAGAAUAUCUUGGAGGAUCAAGAACUUGAGGAAAAUUUUGCUAAUUUGUAUCUAAAUGUCCCUGCUGAUUCAUAGGUGUAAAACUUGGCCUGUAAUAACUUGAACUCCUAUAAUAUUGAUUUGAUUGAGCUAGGCUGUACUCUUUUUUCCUAUCUAGGGUUUCUCACGAGGUGUGAGUUUUACCUAGAUAGGUUUUUAAUGAGGCAACCAUUGCACUAGCUCAAACUUAUAAUCUCUUGUUUCUCUCUAUGAUGUGGUGGAAGGAAUAACUGUUAGAAGUGGAAGGAAUAAACAAGAUUUUCAACCAGCAUGUCUAGAGAUUAUAAGUUUCUCUCUGUGCCGUGGUGGCCUUCGAAAGGGAAUCGAUAUGGAAAACCAAAACACAGUGGUGAAAUGUAUCAUGUAAAUAAAACUCUUUAUUGCAUUAAAAAAACAAUGGGCUAAAACUGAACCGGGCCGGAACAACAACGAGGCAAGCUGAACCGUGCGUGGUUCUGUAUUUUCACAUGCAUGUUGUUCCACGUUGGCUCUGCCGCAAUGUGGUCAUUCUCUCUGGUUUUAUGGGAAUAAGCAAUGCCUAUGCAGGGGUUGCUGGCCUGUGCCUGAUCGCCGUAGAGCCGCUGCCAAUGGUGCCAGUGGACAAGCUAAAAUACUACUCCAGCAAAGCACGAAAAAUUGUGUGGCCUGCAAUGGAGUACCGUGCAUUUCCUCUAUUGAUAAUGGCAGGGACGCAAGGGAGCUGCAACAUCACUUGCAAAGAAAAAUGAUGGCAAACCAACUCAAGCAUACACAAUCAGCAACCCUGCAGAUCAUUGUGGUGAACGUUCAUACAAAUGACCUGUACAGUUAUUCAUAUAUAGUCCACACCAGUCUUUGUAGCCCAAUUACUGAACUGAUGAACAUUAUUUCACUUCUAUCAGGCGAUGCAGGAUGGAGCAGCACGCCAGUUAUUCUUAUUUGGCACAACCAUAAGCACAGACGAACAAAACAAAAAACAGAGGAUUCAGAGACGCCGCACUAGGCCCACAGGAUACUGACACGAUCGACCUUAGCUACAUGCGUUAAAAAGAAAUACAUCAGCAGUAGGACUGGAGAUUAAUUUUACACACACAUCAAUUGUUCAGAUGCACAAAGAGGGUAACAGGGAAGCAGCAAGAGCAAUGACCUGGCACGACGAUCGGCUGACUCUGCAGCACCUCACCACCUCUUCAAAGCGGGUCCAUUUGGAUUGGCACCAAGCUGGCCCUGCAGGUCUUCCAUGAAAGCGUGCUCAUAAGUUUUGCUGUCCAGCAUAAAUUCCUUGAGGCUCCGGAGCAAUGGUAGCCCGGAAAACAUCCCUGUGUUGGUUUCUUCAAGCUUGCCACGAAAAUCCAGCCGCUCAAGCCGAAGCAUUGCCCCUUCUUCAAACUCCACGGAUUUCAGGCCAUCUAUGUCAUUUAGCUCCAGCACUAUCAGACUCGGGAAUGCCUCCGGAUGGAAGGUGAAACGGAGGUCGUCAACCUGGAACGACUUCGCCCACAAACAUAAGCUGACCAGGUUUGGAAGCUUCCCAAGAACUUGGAGUGCAGGUUCGUGUUCCAGUAUUCUAGAGCUCCUUAGAACCAACUUCACAAGAUUCUUGAGCCCCUCGACCCAUCCUGGCAAUUUGAGCAGAUUGCCGUAUAUCUUGAGGCUUUGCAGGUUUUUUGGAGCGGAGGUCAAGCCAUCUAAACAGCCAUGCACACCUGGCAUCCCACGUGAUGCCACUAGCAACGAUUCCAG
rnacentral:lncRNA from 1 species